rnacentral:rRNA from 1 species
ACGGAAGGCAGCAGUGGGGAAUAUUGCACAAUGGGGGAAACCCUGAUGCAGCGACGCCGCGUGAGUGAAGAAGUAUUUCGGUAUGUAAAGCUCUAUCAGCGGGGACGAAGAUGACGGUACCCGCAGAAGAAGUCCCGGCUAACUACAUGCCAGCAGCCGCGGUAAUACGUAGGGGACAAGCGUUAUCCGGAUUUACUGGGUGUAAAGGGAGCGUAGGCGGCCAGACAAGUCAGAAGUGAAAGCCCGCGGCUCAACUGCGGGACUGCUUUUGAAACUGCCAGGCUAGAGUACUGGAGGGGCAAGCGGAAUUCCUGGUGUAGCGGUGAAAUGCGUAGAUAUCAGGAAGAACACCGGUGGCGAAGGCGGCUUGCUGGACAGAGACUGACGCUGAGGCUCGAAGGCGUGGGGAGCAAACAGGAUUAGAUACCCUGGUA